GACGAACGCUGGCGGCGUGCUUAACACAUGCAAGUCGAACGCUGAAGACCUGGCUUUUGUUGGGUUGGAUGAGUGGCGAACGGGUGAGUAACACGUGAGUAACCUGCCCUCUUCUUUGGGAUAACGCCCGGAAACGGGUGCUAAUACUGGAUAUUCACUGAUCUUCGCAUGGGGGUUGGUGGAAAGGUUUGUUCUGGUGGGGGAUGGGCUCGCGGCCUAUCAGCUUGUUGGUGGGGUGAUGGCCUACCAAGGCUUUGACGGGUAGCCGGCCUGAGAGGGUGACCGGUCACAUUGGGACUGGGAUACGGCCCAGACUCCUACGGGAGGCAGCAGUGGGGAAUAUUGCACAAGGGGCGAAAGCCUGAUGUAGCGACGCCGCGUGAGGGAUGGAGGCCUUCGGGUUGUAAACCUCUUUCGCUCAUGGUCAAGCCGCAACUGUGGGUUGUGGUGAGGGUAGUGGGUAAAGAAGCGCCGGCUAACUACGUG
rnacentral:rRNA from 1 species